GGUGUUUACUCUGGCCCAUGGGGCUGGGUCACUCCUGGAAGUGAGGCUGUUCCGUGCCCUGUGGGUACCAAGCGGCAUCCCCAGGCCCCAUCCCCCUUUGAGGCCAGGAACACCUCCCCAGCCACAACAUCCGUGGAUUCUUUACCACUAGUGCCACCUGGGAAGCCCCCAGAUCAGGCUACAACUCCUGAAAGAUGACUUUCCUAAACUGGGACCGCAUCUGAAACAAUUUUCCGGAAUGCAGAGCAGCGUUUCUUUUGGACGAAUUUAUAUUCCUCAAACACAAAUGACAUCCCGUGAUAAGUUUUGGCUGCAAAACAACGUCGGGAAAUGUGUUCAGAUACGUUACACUGUCCUAAGACCCGAGCUGAAAUGCUGACACGAAGGUGCAGAGUGUGUUCUGGGGGCUUCAGCCAGAAUCGCCCGCCAGAGAGAAACACAACAACAACAACACAAAGAAACACAAAUCUGCGCGACUCGGCAAGUCUCCCUGCAAGGGCUGCUCUACUGACCGCGGGCUGCUGCGUUCUCACACGGGUGGCAGUCGUGGGGUGGCGGCGGCCUUCGUCAGACAGCCCGCACUCAGAUGAACAAGGCAGGAUCAAGU